UGUAUAUAUAAGGCAAAUUAUAUGUCUGAACAGAAAACAAAAUCUUUAGAUGUAUAUUCUGUAUUUAAAGCAGAAUUCAUGUACAGCUACAAAGUGCAGGCAACUAGUAAACAUACUAAGAAUAAAUGUCUACUUGAUAAAGUUGUCAAAUUGUUGUAAUAUUUUUUUUAUGUUUGCAAAUGUAUAAUCUAGCAAAAAAGAAAAGAAAAAGGAUAAUAUUAUAAUUUUUUUAGAUCCGGAACUGAUUUAGAGAAAUAAUUUUACCUAUCACCG
rnacentral:lncRNA from 1 species